AACGAACGCUGGCGGCAGGCUUAACACAUGCAAGUCGAACGCCCCGCAAGGGGAGUGGCAGACGGGUGAGUAACGCGUGGGAAUCUACCUAGUUCUGCGGAACAACUGAUGGAAACGUCAGCUAAUACCGCAUACGCCCUACGGGGGAAAGAUUUGUCGGAAUUAGAUGAGCCCGCGUAAGAUUAGCUAGUUGGUGGGGUAAUGGCCUACCAAGGCGACGAUCUUUAGCUGGUCUGAGAGGAUGAUCAGCCACACUGGGACUGAGACACGGCCCAGACUCCUACGGGAGGCAGCAGUGGGGAAUAUUGGACAAUGGGCGCAAGCCUGAUCCAGCCAUGCCGCGUGAGUGAUGAAGGCCUUAGGGUUGUAAAGCUCUUUCAGUGGGGAAGAUAAUGACGGUACCCACAGAAGAAGCCCCGGCUAACUUCGUGCCAGCAGCCGCAGUAA
rnacentral:rRNA from 1 species